AGAGCCCUGAGAUGUUCGUGGGUGGCCGACAGUUUUGAGCCAACACCUUACCAUCGGGAGCCCGAAGUCAACGGUGAGCGCGAAUGCCCAAAAGGGACUCGUUAACAUCGGUGCAGGGCACCCACCUGCCGAGAGCAGGUUCAAAACUCAGGUGACACGGCAUAAUGGGGCUCCU
rnacentral:other from 1 species